rnacentral:lncRNA from 1 species
UGCCCUCCGGCUCCGGCAAUCCGGCAAUCGUCGCCCGUCGGCGCGCGUGCAGGCGCGAGGCCCGCAGCCGUGCGCGCUCAGGCGUUCCCUGCCCAAGCGAGUCCGAUAGCUCCUGCCCAGGCGUCCGCUGCCUUCCAGCCGUCCUCGUCUGACAGCCGCUGUCCAGCGCCGAGUCUCCGAUGGUUUCGACGGCAGAGGUCUCCGGCAAUGUUUCUCC